rnacentral:rRNA from 1 species
GAUGAACGCUGGCGGCGUGUCUAAUACAUGCCAGUCGAGCGAACAGAUGAGGAGCUUGCUCCUCUGACGUUAGCGGCGGACGGGUGAGUAACACGUGGAUAACCUACCUAUAAGACUGGGAUAACUUCGGGAAACCGGAGCUAAUACCGGAUAAUAUAUUGAACCGCAUGGUUCAAUAGUGAAAGACGGUUUUGCUGUCACUUAUAGAUGGAUCCGCGCCGCAUUAGCUAGUUGGCAAGGUAACGGCUUACCAAGGCAACGAUGCGUAGCCGACCUGAGAGGGUGAUCGGCCACACUGGAACUGAGACACGGUCCAGACUCCUACGGGAGGCAGCAGUAGGGAAUCUUCCGCAAUGGGCGAAAGCCUGACGGAGCAACGCCGCGUGAGUGAUGAAGGUCUUCGGAUCGUAAAACUCUGUUAUUAGGGAAGAACAAAUGUGUAAGUAACUAUGCACGUCUUGACGGUACCUAAUCAGAAAGCCACGGCUAACUACGUG